UCAUGGUAAAAUUCAGUAAAACAGUGGU
rnacentral:sRNA from 1 species